AGAGAUCAUGGCUCAGAUUGAACGCUGGCGGCAGGCCUAACACAUGCAAGUCGAGCGGUAGAGAGAAGCUUGCUUCUCUUGGGAGCGGCGGACGGGUGAGUAAUGCCUAGGAAUCUGCCUGGUAGUGGGGGAUAACGCUCGGAAACGGACGCUAAUACCGCAUACGUCCUACGGGAGAAAGCAGGGGACCUUCGGGCCUUGCGCUAUCAGAUGAGCCUAGGUCGGAUUAGCUAGUUGGUGAGGUAAUGGCUCACCAAGGCGACGAUCCGUAACUGGUCUGAGAGGAUGAUCAGUCACACUGGAACUGAGACACGGUCCAGACUCCUACGGGAGGCAGCAGUGGGGAAUAUUGGACAAUGGGCGAAAGCCUGAUCCAGCCAUGCCGCGUGUGUGAAGAAGGUCUUCGGAUUGUAAAGCACUUUAAGUUGGGAGGAAGGGCAGUUACCUAAUACGUAUCUGUUUUGACGUUACCGACAGAAUAAGCACCGGCUAACUCUGUGCCAGCAGCCGCGGUAAUACAGAGGGUGCAAGCGUUAAUCGGAAUUACUGGGCGUAAAGCGCGCGUAGGUGGUUCGUUAAGUUGGAUGUGAAAGCCCCGGGCUCAACCUGGGAACUGCAUUCAAAACUGACGAGCUAAAUUAUGGUAGAGGGUGGUGGAAUUUCCUGUGUAGCGGUGAUAUGCGUAGAUAUAGGAAGGACCACCAGUG
rnacentral:rRNA from 1 species